UGACACAGCCAUAUCACCCUGCAGCCUAAAAUACACUGAAGCUAAGCAGGGCUGAGCCUCGUCAGUACCUGUAUAGGAGACCACAUGGAAAAACGAGGUUGCUGUUGGAA
rnacentral:rRNA from 1 species